GUUGGUGGUUACCUAAAGUGGUGAAGUUUGUGCAGCAACAAGGCAUCUUAACGGAGGACUAGCAAUCUAAAGGUAGCCAUGAGAACGGCUCCUUUUGUACUUGCAGUUGUAAUCUGUAUUUCACAGAUCACGUCGAUUUUCAGCCGGUUCGUACCCGACGCAGACUCAUGUGACCUGCCAUAUUGCCCAGGAGAAAUGCCUGUGUGUUUCAGAGGCUAUCGUACUGGAAGAGAUUGUUACUGCACAUGCUUUCUGAAAGGAAUGGUGUGCCCACCGAUUUGGUGGGCGUGGUGUCCCGGAGGUAGACGUCCCAGGUGCAACCAUGAUUGGCCACAUUCUUGUUCCUGCUCAUGCGAAUUACGGAAGAGAUGGCGGCGAGGAGUUGUUCACAACCCGGCUCGUCACGCUGCGAGCACUGCAUCUCGCCAUUAGAAACGCCUGACAUUCUUUUUCAAUAAAUAAAGAUGUCGAUAUUUUUCCGAAGA